GGUGCAGGCAAAGCGCCUUUUAACAGGAAAAGAUGUUUGAUGGAAAAGGAAUCAUGAUUUUAUCAUAUUGCCAAUCACCAUUGCCAGGUUCUAACUGCAUGUUUUGGGGGUUCCUAGGCUGAGGAAGCUCUGCAAAAGUAUUUAAAGUCCAAAGAGUCUGUGAGUAAAGCUGUUCUACAGACAGACCAGGCUCACAGCCAAGGAAAAGGAGAUGGAAGAGGCACGUGCAAAAGCAGAGGCUGCCAAGGCUGAAUCAGAAAGUGUGGAGGAGAUUCGCAGGCAUAUGCGGCAAAUGAUGGAAGAGAAGGAGAGACUCCAUCAGCAGCAACUAAGACAAAUAGAGAUAGAAAGAGCAAAGUGUCUGGCACAGCAACAGUUGGAGCAGGAACGUCAUCUGAGGGAAGAAGCCGAAAAGCUCAAGUUGAUGCAUCAAGCUGAAAUGGCAAGGUUUCAAGAUCAGAUCCAGCAUAUCCACAGAACAAUGUCUGAGCCACAAGCUGCUCGAUGUAUCAUACUCUAAAGUACAUCAAAGCUUCCUUAUUUCUUUUCGCUAAAGACACAAAGAAACAAGAAACUAAAGAACUUGGAACAAUCAACAUUUAAAUAAUCCCGAAGCUUUCUGCCUAGUCUUCUAAUUUGUCUCUAGAUAUUGCAAGUCACCCAGGCGUCUAGGUAUUGCAAAUUAUCACAUGGGCUCAGUCAAAUGGAAUGGUACCCUGUUCAGCAUCACUACUGCUUAUGGUCAUGUGCUGGAUGCCAUCACAGGGAGGCACCAAUGGUACCAUGGAACAAUCCACAGUUUUUACCUGGUUGGAGACUGCUAUGCUAUGUGCAGUGGUGAAAAUUAUCAGCACUCUCAGUUGGCCUUCUGCAUAGAGAAAUUCCAAAUUCAAAGGAAACAAUGUUAACAUGAAAUGGAAAUCUUUAGAGGAUGAAAGGAAAUACUACUAUGGAAAUUGUGUCAUAAGCUUAAGGACUAAACAAAAAGCUUUUUCCUUUUCUCUAAUCCUCACUAAUUCAUAACUUAUAAUAGGUAACAACUUACAUGUGACUUAAUAUUUUUGCAUUACAUAUUUAUAAUCCUUUAGAGCUUGUAAAUAGGAAUCAUAAGUAAUAAUGUGUAAUGAGCCCAAGUACUGAUGGUGCUCAUAGAAUGAGUUUGGAAGGGUUCCUUCCUUUUCUAUUUCAUGUAAUACUUUGAGGAGUAUUGGCUUUAAUUUUUCUUUGAAUGUCUCAUGGAACUCGGCUGAGAAUCUGUCUGGUCCUGGGCUUUCUUGGUUGGCUUUUGAUGGUGUUUUCUAUUUCAUUACUUAAAAUUGAUCUGUUUAAAUCAUGUAUGACCUCCUAAUUCAGUUUGAGUAGGUCAUAUGCCACUGCAAAUUUGUCAAUGUCUUUGAUAUUUUCUAUUUUAUUGGAGUAUAAAUUUUCAAAAUAGUUUCUAAUUAUCUUCUGUAUUUUAGAUGUGAC
rnacentral:lncRNA from 1 species